CGUGUGCAACACACACACACACACACACACACACACACGGUUGCACACCAGCACCGCUCGUGCAACGCAUCACCUGCAGUGGAGGGAUCCCAGGGCGGGGAGUUUGCAGAUGGAGGGGGCUAAGCAGCACUGCAAAAAGCACGGAAUGUGCCCAGGGAAUGUCCUCAUAGGGUGCCGGCCAUGUACCCCCAGCCAGCCCCACUGGGACCACAGGACAACACCAGGCUGCGGUCUGCAGCACAGAGAUCCCCAGCACCACGUUAUUUAUUUCCCUUUUCCCACUGCCACCGUCUGCAUGCGCUCUGCUUCUCUUUGACCUGAAACUGGACCCAGGCCCGAGCCCCAGCAGUGACCUGCUGGCAGGAGCGUGCUUUGAGCCGUGUCGUCAAUGAGACGUGUGCUAUUCCUGCCUUUGGAGCGGUGCCUGGAGAUGGUGCACAUUCCCAUGCCUCGAGCACCUUCACGAGCUCGCAUAUGACAGCGUGAGAUGAUGCUCAGAUGCUGCUGCCAGCACCGGGUGGGCUCACAAGCCCAUUCCCUACACCCUGAGACCCCCACGCCUCCUCCCCCGUGAAACAAAUCCCGCAGCCACUCUUGGCUCCAUGCAAUCCACAGCACUGGGGCAAAGUCCUUGACGGUCACAUCAACAGCAGCUUUCUACCACCAUGACAUCAACAGGGACUUUCUGUGAAGUCUCUGUGAAAUUCAGUCAAAACACAAAGGUUCUAAGAGGGUGCAUGGGGGUGCAGAAAUAAAGGGGUGCACAUGGAUUUCUGUGCAGCUGAAGGCUGUACAAAUCCAGGUGCUGGUGAGGGCUGCUUGGCUCUGGCCCUGCUGCUCAGCGGGGCAGUGACAGGUGACAACUUCAUCCUUCCCUCAACACCUUCUGCAUUAAACAAAAGGCGAUGUUAAAAUUAGCCUCUGGAUCA